rnacentral:rRNA from 1 species
GACAGAGGUGCCAAGCGUUAGGCGGAAUCACUGGGCUUAAAGCGCGUGUAGGUGGCGGCCUAAGUACCUUGUGAAAUCCUGCGGCUCAACCGCAGAACUGCUUGGUAUACUGGGUCGCUUGAGACAUUCAGGGGCAACUGGAACAAGCGGUGGAGCGGUGAAAUGCGCAGAUAUCAGGAGGAACACCGGUGGCGAAGGCGGUUCUCUGGGAAUGUACUGACGCUGAGGAGCGAAAGUGUGGGGAGCGAACAGG